CCCUUAGAUGUUCUGGGCCGCACGCGCGCUACACUGACGAAUGCAACGAGCUUAUAACCUUGGCCGAAAGGUCUGGGUAAUCUCCAAAUUUCGUCGUGAUGGGGAUAGAUUAUUGCAAUUAUUAAUCUUCAACGAGGAAUGCCUAGUAAGCGCAAGUCAUCAGCUUGCGUUGAUUACGUCCCUGCCCUUUGUACACACCGCCCUUCGCUCCUACCGAUUGAAUGGUCCGGUGAAGCGUUCGGACCGUGGCCUUUGGACGGUUCGCCGUCUGUUGGCUGCGGGAAGUUCGUUAAACCUUAUCAUUUAGAGGAAGGAGAAGUCGUAACA
rnacentral:rRNA from 1 species